rnacentral:tRNA from 1 species
GGGGACGUAGCUCAGUCGGGAGAGCGCCGGCUUUGCAAGCCGGAAGUCGUCGGUUCGAGUCCGAUCGUCUCCA